rnacentral:ribozyme from 1 species
AACAGAAGUGGAAAAGAGCUGGUGGACAAACACGUCCUGUCGAACUUUUUAUUGUCACGCUUUGCUUUGCUCUGCUUUGCUUUGCUUUGCUUUUUCCUCCUUUUUGUUUCUUUGUUUUUGUUUUCAAGUUUGUGUACUGUAGUAAUGGUUUGAUGAGGAAAAGGAAGGAAAAGAAAAUGCCUC